AAUAUUGCGCAAUGGAGGGAACUCUGACGCAGCGACGCCGCGUGAGCGAUGAAGGNCUNNGGAUCNUNAAGCUCUUUCCUUGGNNNNNUAGUGAGCCGUCAUGCUUCUUACCGAUACUCUUGGAUGAAGCUCCUGCUAACUACGUGCCAGCAGCCGCGGUAAUACGUAGGGGGCAAGCGGUGUCCGGAAUUAUUGGGCGUAAAGGGUGCGUAGGCGGCCCUUUAAGUCAGAUGUGAAAGCCCACGGCUUAACCGUGGGACUGCAUUUGAAACUGGAGGGCUUGAGUGUCGGAGAGGGCAGUGGAAUUCCCAGUGUAGCGGUGGAAUGCGUAGAUAUUGGGAGGAACACCAGUGGCGAAGGCGACUGCCUGGACGAUAACUGACGCUGAGGCACGAAAGCUAGGGGAGCAAACA
rnacentral:rRNA from 1 species